AACUCUGUGCCAGCAGCCGCGGUAAUACAGAGGUGGCUAAGCGUUGUUCGGAAUUAUUCCGCGUAAAGCGCGCGCAGGCGGGAUUGUAAGUCAGAUGUGAAAGCCCUCGGCUCAACCGGGGAAGUGCGUUCGAAACUGCAGUCUUGAGUGUCGGAGAGGGUGGCGGAAUUCCCGGUGUAGCGGUGAAAUUCGUAGAUAUCGGGAGGAACACCAGAGGCGAAAGCGAUUCU
rnacentral:rRNA from 1 species